rnacentral:rRNA from 1 species
AUGCCCAUCGCCCUCCUCGCAGACGUCCCCCCUCGUCCAGGUCUCUACUCGGAGGGGCUCCCUGAACAGGCAGAGCGACGACAGGGCCGUCUCGUCGGCCGCGACGCUCAGGCGUGGCGUGUCGUAGAGGUGGUAUUCCAUGUCGCGCGGUCUCGGGGCCGGGAGCUUCUGCAGGGACACGCGGCCGGUCAUGGCGUCCACGUCGAUGGCGUGAAAGUCGACGAGGUCCCAGAUGAGCCAGUGCACCGUCCCGUGGCGCACCACGGCGCCGCGCUGCUUCAACGGCCCGAAGAUGCCGUGCUCUAUCGGGUUGAAGAGCUUGCUCGGCGCGCUCCAGCUCGGCUCGCCGCCGGACGAGAACGUCCGGAUGUCGUACUGCUGGCUGCCCUCGUUGUUGUAGCCGACGAUCAGCACCUUGAAGGACGCCGGCCCCUGGCUCACGACGGCGUACGCGCUCGCGUCCACGUAGUCGAAGAACCAGCCGCGCUCGAGCGGGGGGAGCACGUCGCAUGCGCCGGAGUGCAGGUUGCACACGGCCAGGCGGUCCACGUCGGCGCUCGGGUCCGCGCCCGCGCCGCCGGCUGGGACGAAGCGCACGAGGAGGAGGCCGCGAUGCGAGGCGAGCGGCACCGCGCGGUCGAAGAUGCCGGCGGCGCCGGGCACGAAGGAGCCCAGGAAGGGGUGUUCGGACCCGAGGACCGACCCCGGCGCGCGGACGAAGCCCGGCGAAUCAGGGACGUCCCCGCGAUCCUCUCCGCCGGGGCGGCGGCACCACUCCUGGCCGAAGAAGCCGAGGAGCGAGGAGGGGUGGCGCGCGCCGUCCGGCCAGCGGCGGCGGAGGAAGGACGGGUCGGCCACCAGCGUCCUCCAGCGCCUGCACGCCGCGGCGCAGCGGAAGAGGCCCGCCGCGUCCGGCACGCGCGCGAGGAUCUCCAGCGCGAUGUCCUCCGGGAGCGCGGCCGGCGGCGACGCCAUCGCCUUCUGAUCUCUCACCAUCGAUCGAUCCCCGGACGUACGUAUGGUAAGUGGACGUCGCGAAAGAUCGAGAUGCGGGAUUAG